rnacentral:lncRNA from 13 species
AUGCUGGAGCAGAAUUGGUGGAAUGGUAUCAAAUACAUCAAACUCAUGAUUUCCAUGUGUCUGAUGCCAUUCCAUUUGCUCCGUUCCGGGCAUUAUUAUGAGCCGUUCUCCCCGCAGCAGCCUCCUGUGCAGCCAUUAUCUAGACAGACAUGGUCUCAAAUCACUGAUGCAGAAGACGUGCUCUGCAUAUUGACUGAGAAUAUGAUUAUCAGCAUGGGAAUCCUCUCAAUAUUCCAAGCUGUGUACUUGCACCUCGCCUCUGCGUUUUUCCGACAAGACUCGUGGCUUAAAAGGACGCGAGAGGGAUAUGCCACGAGCGCCCAAUUGGAAUCGCAGCAGAAUGAAGGUAAAGCUUCGAUCACACCGACAGUUUCUUUGCAUUGCUUUGCAAUGACAUUCAUUUCCAAUAAAACGCUGCGUUUACCUUGCAGCAUUGCGUUGCAGAGGUAGUUGUAGUUCAUUGGGUGUGGUGCAUACGUUGAAUUUAUCUAACGUAUGCGUCAAACUGUAUGUGCAGACGGCUUGACAGAAAUGGUAGGAUAAGGUGAAUGUUGAACUAAAGUCGGUGUGAUCGAAGCGUAUCUCCUCCAUGCGUCCACAACCGCAUGCAAUCCGCAUGCAACCCAUGCAGCAGCGUUAAGCCUCAAUCACACCACACCAUUUGCAUUAUGGUACACCAGAAGUACAUUCAUUUCCAAUUGAACAUAUGCUCAAACUGUAUGCUAGACAGCUUGACAGAAAUGGUAGCAGAAGAUGAAUGUUAAGUAUAUCAUCUAUAGAAAUUAAAACAGUGUGACUGUUGGAUUCAAAUAAGUGGUAUGUAAGCAGAUUUCUACACAAUUAUUUUACGCAUGCAUUAUGAGCAUAUUGAUGGCUAUUUCAAGAGAAGGCUGCGUUCCAUUGGAACUGAAUGUACUUGUGGUGUACCACAAAAAGAAUAGCUGUCGGUGUGGUGUGAUGUGAUCGAGGCUUAACGCCUUGAAAAAUAGAAAAGUCCUCUCACUGUCAACUGUGUGUCACGAAUAUUACCGAAGGGGACUCCCCUUCUUGUUCGGGUGGCGGUCGUCGUCGCCGGUCUACUAGCUGCCACCGAUCCUUUGUUCUGUGUUCGUUUGUUUUUUUCUAAUUGGUUUCACCUGUUCCUUGUUUGGUUGUUAGGGUGGGGUUAUUUAAGUUCAUUCAGCCCGCUUCGUGUUUGUGCGGGCUUGUUCAUCUGUAUGUGUUAGAGUGGUUAGUGUUUUCAUUUGGGUUUCGCGCUGUCCUUGUAUUUUCAUGAUAGGGUACUUUUUGUUCUGUAGUUAUACCUGGUUUGGUAUACUAUUUUUGUUCCUGUGAUUAUUUUUGGACAUUAAAGUGUGUUUUUCCCGCAUCCUUUGCUCUCUGCGACUGACUCCACACCUAUUCACUCAUUGAGCG